UUCAACUCAAACAAAGCUUUGUGCAUUAUUUUCACAGUCAAAAUAAAUCAAUCCAGCAUUUUUUUUUAUAAAUGUAAGUUGUUAUUUCCACUGUGGAGUAAAGGAGCUGUGGGUAAACUGACUCCAUGUUGCACAGCAGCUGUGAGGUAGGCAACGUUUUCUCCUGAAGGGUUGGCUAAAAUAAAAAUGAAACUAAAAGCUGCAGUCUCCUGGCACACCAGCCAACUGUUGGCUUCUUUUGUCGGUUCAUCCAACGUUUACCUCAUUUCUAGAUGGAUUGUUUUCCAGAGCAUCACCUCCAUAUGGAAUAAUAGGAUGUCUGCAUAACGGAAGAAUAACAAAGUAACCAAAGCAGUCCUGGUGCCCUCCGACUCUACGUCUGAAGCAGAAGAAGGAAGACGAAACUGUGGUGGCCGUCUGUCCGUAAGGGAACUAUGUCUGAAACUAAGAUAGAGACUGGGAAUUGUGCAAAUAUAUAUAUUCAGCAACAAAAUGUGUACAUACAGAGUUCUGAAGUCAGUAUAUAAUCUGUUUUUCCAAUAUCUACAAAAAGUUAAUACAAAAUGAACUCAAUCUUCCUCCGUUACAUGUUCACUUGAUCUUUGUUGAUCCGAUAUUUACUCUAUCGUGAUAAAACAUGAACUUAGACCCCAUAAACUGAAUAAAAGGGUUUAUUUAUGUACAGUUAUCCCAUCAAAUGUUAGUAGUGAUGGUCUUGUGGUCCGGCUUCCAAAUACGACACCAGAUGGUUGUGAGUUUAAUGCCAGGGCGGCCACCAUUGUACCCAAGAGCGUCUGCUAAAUUACCUGUAAUAUAAAGUAGCACAUCAUCAACAUGUCCUCUGUUUAGUUAGAUAAUGAUUAAUCUUUUAUUUAGCCAUAUAGUUAGCCACUGGGUCUAGUUUGUUUAAGGUAAUAUAUGUUUGUGUAGGUACAAACAUCAGAGCGAGAAGUGUCUUUAUACAGAUGAAAUAUUGCUUUAUGUUAGAAGUUAUGGUUUGAUGAUACAAACACACGAGAUGACAGAAGCUCGUUCAUUUAAUAAAGUGUAUUGUGUGCUGCUAUUAUCCAUAUGUUAUAAUAAAAUAUACAUUUCUGUA